GCCCUUCUAGUAUAUCCAUUACAAUUGACUUCCAAUCUCUAGAAUCUGGUGCAACCCCAGAGAAGAGCA
rnacentral:tRNA from 4 species